UUAGUGGCAUGACUUUUCCACUAGGUGGGGCUAUGGCUUUUUAGGUAGCUCUGCGUAUUUUCCCCAUCUUCGUUAUGUUUGCAGCUGUGACCUGGGAUGCUACAGAAAGACACUCAGCGGCAACGUUUAGAUGGCUCCAAAGCUGUCUGCCUUCACAUGUGUUUGCUGAGAUUCUUCACUUGAAGAGGAACUAGGAAAGUAGACUCCUGCAGAAAGGCAGCUCAGUGAUGUUGCUUUUCAUGACAUGAUGGACUGGCCUUAUCAGUGGCCAUUCUGGCAAUGCUGACAGACUGAAGGGGGCGAUCUGAUCUGUUGUUUUGUUUUGAUCUCCUCAGACUUCUUAUCUCAAAGUGAGUUGGUUGGAAUCCAGCCGCAGACGUAACGUCCAGAGAGAAGACGACACGCAAUGGUUACAGGGCAUUCCACACACACCAGAUCCAGGGAGCGGCCCACGUCAGACGAUCAUCUUUCUGCUUCAUACACCGCCGACAGGGCUGUCGUCAGAGGGCUUUACCAGCGGUGUCUGUGAAACCUGAGAGUUGCUGGACAGGCUUCACACUGGGGGGCAAGAGGUGAGGGAGAGAUGGGUUAGUACCGUUGAAGAGGUAAUGCACACCUCAAGUAGUAGGGAAACCGUGGCUUGGUGGCUAGCCACAGGGCUGCAUGAGUAUGAGGAAAGCCAACCCGCGGCCUCUAAGAGGAUCAGAUUUCCUCACAACUUGUUGCCCAAUGCUAUAUAAACUCUGGCAUGCGGUCUUGACACCUGAUCUGGACUAAAAGAGCCGCUGGAGAGCUUCUUUGCACCCACCGUGUCCCCUGCUCUUUCAAGUCCACUGGCCCCAUCCUCUAGCCCAGACCAACCCAUUGGCAUGGUCACCCUCACUGGGGCCACAAGUGGACCUUCACAAUCACCACACAGCUCUCACUCAGUCAUCACUGCUCUGCUAAUGAGGCGCUCAAGGGACAGUCUGCCACCACUAAAGGGACACUGUGGGACCAGGGAGUUCCCUUUAACUACUAAGGGAACCUCCCUCCUCAACUUUAAUGAGUCCCUGAUGUGUGACAGCUGUCCAUCUGCCUGCCAAAACACUCCAAUGUGAACCGAGAUAUGAUAUCAUGUUUGACAGGCCCACACACAAUCACAGAAGUUGAGUGUGGCUCUGAAAUGGAGAUUUAAAGGGCCAGUCCACCAAUUUUACACAUCAAGAUUAGUUUACUCGUCAAUAGUGUUUUCUGAGGCUCUGCAGGAAGAGGCUCAAAGUCUGAAAAAAAGCCCUGAUGAUGUCAUAUGGGUUAUCUCAUUAGGGUUAUUGAAGACUAAUUUUGAACAACAAGCCUGUGUUACAUGUUUGCAAUACAAAUUUUGAAA